UGCCCAGCAACUCCUAUCCCUACCUCCGUGUGGUGCCGGAUGGAAACUAUGAGCAACCUUAGGGAAGAUUUGGUAACCAACCCCUGUGUACUUUGGUCGUAUGUUGACAGGGAGGG
rnacentral:ribozyme from 1 species